CGUGUAGGCGGCUACGUAAGUCGGACGUGAAAGCCCACGGCUCAACUGUGGAAGUGCGCUCGAAACUGUGUAGCUUGAGUCUUGGAGAGGAAGGCGGAAUACUUGGUGUAGAGGUGAAAUUCGUAGAUAUCAGGUAGAACACCAGUGGCGAAGGCGGCCUUCUGGACAAUGACUGACGCUGAGACGCGAAAGCGUGGGGAGCAAACAGGAUUAGAUACCCUGGUAGUCCACGCCGUAAACGAUGAGUGCUAGGUGUCACGAGCUUUGACCCUCGUGGUGCCGAAGCUAACGCGUUAAGCACUCCGCCUGGGGAGUACGGCCGCAAGGCUAAA
rnacentral:rRNA from 1 species